rnacentral:rRNA from 1 species
AUUGAACGCUGGCGGCAGGCCUAACACAUGCAAGUCGAGCGGCAGCGGAAAGUAGCUUGCUACUUUGCCGGCGAGCGGCGGACGGGUGAGUAAUGUCUGGGAAACUGCCUGAUGGAGGGGGAUAACUACUGGAAACGGUAGCUAAUACCGCAUGACCUCGAAAGAGCAAAGUGGGGGAUCUUCGGACCUCACGCCAUCGGAUGUGCCCAGAUGGGAUUAGCUAGUAGGUGAGGUAAUGGCUCACCUAGGCGACGAUCCCUAGCUGGUCUGAGAGGAUGACCAGCCACACUGGAACUGAGACACGGUCCAGACUCCUACGGGAGGCAGCAGUGGGGAAUAUUGCACAAUGGGCGCAAGCCUGAUGCAGCCAUGCCGCGUGUGUGAAGAAGGCCUUAGGGUUGUAAAGCACUUUCAGCGAGGAGGAAGGCACCAUACUUAAUACGUGUGGUGAUUGACGUUACUCGCAGAAGAAGCACCGGCUAACUCCGUGCCAGCAGCCGCGGUAAUACGGAGGGUGCACCCUUUAUCGGAAUUACUGGGCGUAAAGCGCACGCAGGCGGGUUUGUUAAGUCACAUC